rnacentral:misc_RNA from 1 species
GAUGAAGAACGUAGCGAAAUGCGAUAAGUAAUGUGAAUUGCAGAAUUCAGUGAAUCAUCGAGUCUUUGAACGCACAUUGCGCCCCCUGGUAUUCCGGGGGGCAUGCCUGUCCGAGCGUCAUUGCUGCCCUCAAGCACGGCUUGUGUGUUGGGCCCCCGUCCCCGGUUUCCCCCGGGGACGGGCCCGAAAGGCAGCGGCGGCACCGCGUCCGGUCCUCGAGCGUAUGGGGCUUUGUCACCCGCUCUGUAGGCCCGGCCGGCGCCAGCCGACACCCAACUUUAUAUCUAAGGUUGACCUCGGAUCAGGUAGGGAUACCCGCUGAACUUAAGCAUAUCAAUAAGCGGAGGA